rnacentral:rRNA from 1 species
UACGGAGGGGGCUAGCGUUGUUCGGAAUUACUGGGCGUAAAGCGCACGUAGGCGGCUUUGCAAGUUAGAGGUGAAAGCCCGGGGCUCAACUCCGGAAUUGCCUUUAAAACUGCAUCGCUAGAAUUGUGGAGAGGUAAGUGGAAUUCCGAGUGUAGAGGUGAAAUUCGUAGAUAUUCGGAAGAACACCAGUGGCGAAGGCGACUUACUGGACACAUAUUGACGCUGAGGUGCGGAAGCGUGGGGAGCAGACAGG